CCCAGCCUCUCAGGGCUCUCAGCCUGGGGCUCACUGGGACUGGAAUCAUGUUUCUUUUAAGGAGCCCUGUUAUGGACUGAAUUGCAUCAACCACCCACUCCCACCCCCAAUUCAUAUGAUGAAGCAUAGCCCUCAAGAUGACUGUAUUUGGAGAUCAGGUUUUAAGAAGUGGCCAGAGAAGAAUCUUAGCUUUGGGGCCCCUGGAAACAGAUUCUGAGCCAAGAGCUGAUUCUGAGCCAAGAGCUGGAGAACUCCGAGGUUGGGCAUCUUCCUGUGUCAGAGAAAGACGCUGGGCAAAGAGAGUCCUAUGUCCUGGCAAUCGGAAGCCUUCAUGGUGGGUGCCAAGGGGUGUGGGUGGGGCUGAUGUGCGUGGAGUGUCUGCUACCAAACACCUCUCUGAGGAGAUCACGCUGGAACCGACAUCAGAAUGAUGAGAAACCAGCCAUCGGAAGAGUCAGGAGAAGAGGUCUGUAGGUGGAGGGAAGGAAAGGUCUCAGCCCUGGCCAUUGCUGCUGGAGCGUCACUUGCCAGGGCAGAGAGAUCGUCUGGGGCAGCUGGGCCAAGAGAUGGAUCAAGACUCCCUCCGAGAGAUUACCCAACCCUCCCUCCUCACCCCCUUCCUGCAGACGCCGCCUGCCCUUUGUCCUCACCUGCAGCAGAGUCACUCCACAACUGUCCUCUUGCUCCGCCUCUGCUCCCCACGUUGGCCCCACAUUUUCUGAGCUUAUUCUGUCUUCUUUGGCCUCAGAGCCUUAGCUUGUGUUCCCUCUUCUGAGAAUGCCCUUCCACCCCAUUUCUGCCUGAUGAAA